rnacentral:lncRNA from 1 species
CCACGAUGCCACUCUGACAAGGCUGCCCCCCAGAGAAGGCCACCGCUGCAGAUGAGGCCGCUCACUGAUGAGGCUGCACCCCAGACAAGGCUGCUCCCAAAAAGAGGCCACUCUGGACCCCUCACCGAGGGGGCCUCUUCCCAGAUCAAGCCACUCCCCAGAACGAUGCAGCUCUGGCAAGGCUGCGGCUCAGGGUGACGAGGCAUUUCAUGACCCUGGAAUUCCUAGGAAGUAAUAUACAAUGUAAAUAAAAGCAACCUUCUGAAUAACUGGAAGGCUCCAUGGGAUCAGCCUGGUUCUAAUAUGAGAAGUCAUCUCCUAUGCAGACUAGAUGGAAC